ensembl:ncRNA C13C12.4 ncRNA
UCAAGUGCUAUGCAAUCAUGUAAACUGUUACAAACCCCCAUUCUCACCCCCAUUUCACUGCCGCUGGACUUUCAAAAUUUGCUC